UACGGAGGAUGCAAGCGUUAUCCGGAAUGAUUGGGCGUAAAGCGUCCGCAGGUGGCAAUGUAAGUCUGCUGUCAAAGCGUCUGGCUCAACCAGAUAAAGGCAGUGGAAACUACAUAGCUAGAGUAAGGUAGGGGUAGAGGGAAUUCCUGGUGUAGCGGUGAAAUGCGUAGAGAUCAGGAAGAACACCGGUGGCGAAAGCGCUCUACUGGACCGCAACUGACACUCAGGGACGAAAGCUAGGGGAGCGAAUGGG
rnacentral:rRNA from 1 species